ACACAGGAAUAGAAGUAAUAAGCAAAAAUAAAAUACACUAUAAUACAGGUCAGAAAAUAAAUUAAGUACCAGUAACCAACUAAAAUAGGCUAUUUUGAAAAGUCCAGUAGUGAGAGUGAAGCUGUAUGUUAUCUAUACAUCCACAGGCACAUUUAUUCAGAAUUUACACUGGUUCUUACUCUGCCUAGAGGCUUUUUCCAUGUAAAUCCAGUGUUUUCUUAUUUUGUUGACAUGAACAAAAUAAUAGUGUGCACAGAGCAGAAACAAACCACUAUCAACUUGUGGAGGUAAGGAGAUAAAACAAACAACAAUCUGCGCAGAGAAAAUACUGACAGCUGCUGAUUCCGAGGACAGACAGGAUGGUCAUUUAUCUGAAACAUGAUGCAUCAUUACUACAGCCAGGAGCUGCUCAAGAGAAAGCUGUCCAUGGUGGGAACAAUAAGGAAGAAUAAACCUGAGCUUCCACCUGCACUGCUUGCCACAAGAGACAGGGCUCGAUAUUCUACCAAGUUUGCAUUCUCUAAGACACAUACUCUUGCGUCCUCUUGUCCCAAAAAAGCCCCAAGUCAUCCUGGACUACAACCACAACAAAGGAGGCGUUGACAACCUUGACAAGGUUACAAGUGUGUAGGCAUGUAAAAACAGCCCAUUGGCCCCUGGUGGUCUUUUAUAACAUACUUGACGUGUCUGCCUACAAUUCAUUUGUACUGUGGACUGAGAUCAACCCGGCAUACAAUCAGGGGAAGUGUCAUAGGAGGAGGCUAUUCCUUGAGGAGCUUGGGAGAGAACUGGUGACACCUCUCAUCAAAAGACGCCAGGUUCUUCCCCGCAUGCCAGCCUCAGCUUGGUUGUGCCUCUGCAGCAGCUCCUAGUGGCCCAGCUGCUCCUCCUGAACGAUCAGCCACAAGGAAAAGGUGCCGAUUCUGCCAUGGCAAGAGUGAUCUCAAAACCAACAUCACACACUCGCACAUGCAUGCACAAACACAA